CUGGGUAUGCCGCUGCAUGAUCUGAAAGAAGAGGCGCCGCCGCCACAACAAACCCCAUCGCCAACGAUCCUCUGCGGACGCCGUGGUGACUGGUGAAGGAGGCGAAUCGUUCUCUGGAUCGCUUGUCGUAUCGGAUCGGAGCACCACGACUUCCGGGGCACGAGUGCAGACCAUGAGACCUUCGCCCAACUGCCGCUACCAGACCGAAUACAAGGUUAGAGAUUAUGAAUUCUUAUGCGGACCAGAUGUCAAGGAACCAAUUAGAGAUUAUGUAUUCUUGAGCGGACCAGAUGUCAAUGGACGAGUUAGAGAUUAUGAAGUACUGGAUGAUAUCAUCCGUGAAGAAUUCUCGAGAGCAUAUAAAGUGCUCAAGUCUCGCACACCUCAAAUUGACACCGAGACUCAAUUGGAUGAAGAGGAGGUUGACAGGCUCCGUGGAAAUCAUGCACGUUAUCGCAUCAAAGCUUGCCUGUUACUGAAGGGAAAGUGCAUAUACCCCCCAGAGCUUAUCUUGGAGAAUACUUACCUCUCUCGUUACAUCAAAGAUGAAGCCUUGGACUGGUAUUUUGACUCGGACCUCUGUUUACUUGCGUCAUUGAGUGACUAUCAGCGGCUGGUCCUUCGUAAUGAAGGUGGCCACGAGUAUGUAAGUUGGAGUGAAUACCGAGAGUUCUACAAUACCCCAGAAGCUGACAAAGAUUAUCUGCAGUACAGGGAAUCGAUUGUGUAGAAUCUUAAGUGGUUUGAAGAUGAUGUUCUCAAAGGCUAUAUUCAGGGGCCUGGCUUCCGUAAUAGAGCUUUGUGCCAAGCAAUUAGGAUUGCUGCUAGGUUCCCGAACAUUGAUCUGAGGCUAGCAUAUCAUGGCAUCGAGGAGUAUAUACAGAGCACACACUUAGUGAAAGAUCUUGCUUGUUUAUUUUCUGAGAUCUGGAAACUGGUUAAUGGUCAUGAUCAGGACAAUGUACAGAUGUGUUUCAGUGAUGCGCUGGAGCAUGUUUAUGAUGAAAAUCGGUAUCCAUUACGCAAACGUAAUUUGAACAACGAGUUGAGGUACACUGGUGGUUUGAACCUGCAGGAACUAGUAGUUUUUUUUUUCUUUUCCUUUCUUACACUUCCGCUUUGUGUUUUCAUUGGACAAUUAGUAUACCUCUUACGUUGCAAACUGCUUCAAUCAUCUUUCCUUGUAGUUUCGGCAGUGCACACAGGGUAUCAGUAAGGAAGUUCCGGAUUCGAUAGCUCUUGAGUUAAUUUCCUGGGAAGUUAGGUUCAAGUGUGACCUGCCAAAGACAUAUGUGCAGUAUGCCAGAAAGAAGCUCAAGAUUGCAGAAACCAUAGGAUUGAUUCCCAAGGCCAAGAUAUUCGUGUAGUUGUUUGUUGCUUGUUGGCGUGGUGGUCAUUUGGAAUAAGUUUCAGAAAAUAAACUGUAAUAUUCCAGGGUAGCUACUGCAUCUAUGGUUA